GAUGAAGAACGUAGCGAAAUGCGAUACGUAGUGUGAAUUGCAGAAUUCAGUGAAUCAUCGAAUCUUUGAACGCACAUUGCACCUCUCGGUAUUCCGGGAGGUAUGCCUGUUCGAGCGUCAUUUGUACCCUCAAGCUCUGCUUGGUGUUGGGUGUUUGUUCCGCCUCUGUGUGUGAACUCGCCUCAAAACAAUUGGCAGCCGGCGUACUUGUUUCGGAGCGCAGCACAUUUUGCCAUCCAGAUCAACGUACAGCGGCAUCCAAGAAGCCUUAUUUAACGCUCUUGACCUCGGAUCAGGUAGGGAUACCCGCUGAACUUAAGCAUAUCAAUAAGCGGAGGA
rnacentral:misc_RNA from 1 species